CAAGACAGGGCUGCACUUGUCUAAACUCUGCCUUGACCAGACCAUAAGGAUUGGUAACAAGGAUACAUCCAGGAAAAAUAUUUAUUCAAACAAGAAUUCGGCUAAGGCUGCCACAACAGUGCUCCUAUUUAGAUAACUCCAGCAGCUGAAGUCAUCCAGGAACUGUCAAGUUUGGAAGCCCUGUAAGAUGAUGCAUGGACUUCUACAUUACCCCUACAAGGGAGCUGAGAGGAGCUUUCCAUUCUGACAGCAGGAAGAGGUGAAAUGUGCAAGAAUGGAUGAAGCAGAAUAAAAAUGGGCAUUCUAUGCCUUUCCACCCCAUGAUCUCCUCCAGGGAACAAUAAGAAGAGCCAUUCUUCC
ensembl:lncRNA